rnacentral:rRNA from 1 species
UACGUAGGGGGCUAGCGUUGUCCGGAAUCAUUGGGCGUAAAGCGCGUGUAGGCGGUUCGGUAAGUCCGCUGUGAAAGUCGGGGGCUCAACCCUCGGAAGCCGGUGGAUACUGUCGAGCUAGAGUACGGAAGAGGCGAGUGGAAUUCCUGGUGUAGCGGUGAAAUGCGCAGAUAUCAGGAGGAACACCAAUUGCGAAGGCAGCUCGCUGGGACGUUACUGACGCUGAGACGCGAAAGCGUGGGGAGCAAACGGG